rnacentral:ribozyme from 14 species
ACACACACACACAGAGAGAGAGGAAUGGAUCAGAAUAUGUAUCCACAAAUGAUAAUGAUGUUGUUUGUUUGUGGAUAUAGGAUCUUUUUGUCUUUGGCUGCCCCGCCUCGCCUGCUUGUUUUCUUUUUUUUCGAGUCUCACUUUCUUAUUUCUUUUUCA